AUUGAACGCUGGCGGCAUGCCUUACACAUGCAAGUCGAACGGCAGCGGGGGAGAAGCUUGCUUUUCCUGCCGGCGAGUGGCGAACGGGUGAGUAAUACAUCGGAACGUGCCCUGUAGGGGGGGAUAACUAGUCGAAAGAUUAGCUAAUACCGCAUACGACGUGAGGGUGAAAGCGGGGGACCGCAAGGCCUCAUGCUAUAGGAGCGGCCGAUGUCUGAUUAGCUAGUUGGUGGGGUAAAGGCCUACCAAGGCGACGAUCAGUAACUGGUCUGAGAGGACGACCAGCCACACUGGGACUGAGACACGGCCCAGACUCCUACGGGAGGCAGCAGUGGGGAAUUUUGGACAAUGGGCGCAAGCCUGAUCCAGCCAUGCCGCGUGCAGGAUGAAGGCCUUCGGGUUGUAAACUGCUUUUGUACGGAACGAAAAGCCUCUUUCGAAUAAAGAGAGGUCAUGACGGUACCGUAAGAAUAAGCACCGGCUAACUACGUGCCAGCCGCCGCCGUAA
rnacentral:rRNA from 1 species